ACUAAAUGUGUCAGUUACUAGACUUUUGUAGGUCCUUUUUUGCUAAUAUCUAAAAGAUUGGAAAAAGGAUAAAAAAAGGGUACAACUUUUUGGGUUUGGGGUGAAUUUAGUAAAAAUAGGUUAAUUUAGGGGUUAAAUGUUAAAUUUUAUAUAUAUAUUUUAUUAGUAGUAACUCUCUUUUUGUAUUUGUAAAAAUAAGUAUUGUUCUUCAACAAAAACGUAUUGGAAUUAGUUGUUAUUAAUUUUAUCUUCUGUUGACAAAAUUUACUUGGGUGUCUUCAAAUUUGCUUCUUUCUUUAUUUGAGUUUCUUGUUGAUGUUCGAUUUUUCGACCGCAAAAAAUUGAAUCAAUGGUGUUGAUUAUUCUUGAAAUUUAUGUUAUUUUAAUUUUUGCUUCAGGCUGCGCCAUUAAUAGCAGAAGUGGUUAUAGUUCCUGCUCCAUAUGUUUGAAGAUAUGAAGUUCAGGCAUGACAAUCAUUCAAGGUCAGACCUCCCACUGCGAGAAUGCGCAAAAGCACUGAAGCAAAUAGAGUGAGGGAAGCACAUAGGAAGGUGAUGGUAACUAACCAUCGAGAUGAAGGACAUAAUUACUACCUUGCUUCAAAGUGAGAGAGUGGAAGAAACUUCUUGGUGAAGUUAACGAUUUGCAGUUAUUACAAUCAAGGCUUCAGCUACAGGUAUGUUCUUUUUUCAUCCGUCGUUGUGAUUUCUUUCUCUCUCAUUCCUCAUUUUAU